AAUCCAAUACAGGGUCUGGAGUCUGACAUUAGAGGAGAGGAUGCUCCUAUUUUACUUGCCAAUUGGCCUGCUAUGGGGGAGGAGACUGACCAUGGCUGACCUAUUCCACAAUAAAACACCACAAAAUGUUUAUCUGUAAACCGUUCCCAUUCGCAUAGUACAAAACUACCUCUACUGAUGUUGAGAAGGUUUUCGCGUCUUUCGUUUAUUCACUGCCUUGCCCUUUGACAACGAUAUUUUUGACAAGGAUAGAAGUCCAAGGAAGAAAACGAGUAUUUCAAGUCUACGAACACUAGAGGGAAAAGUAUAGAGUCGCGACCCCGGCAGAUGGAAAAUAAGUUGGGUUUUAUUUUGUGACAAACGCGUGGUUUGCGUUGCAGCGUUAUCAGUGGUAUAGCUGUGUGCACUGAACACCAGACUGGGAGAAGAUGUACAAAGGAAUGUUACCUAUUCCGCAUUUCUUCACCUUGAUCUGCUAGACUAAUACAAUUUGCAUGUAUGCCGCUAACACCCACAUAUAAUGUACUUAUUAUUGAAACAUCACGUAAGAACUUGGGUACAAAUCUCACUCCUGUGAAAUAUACUGUAAGGUGCAUAGCACAAUACAAAACAAUUAUAUAUUAUAUCUUUCAAGGACAAACAUUUGCUUUACUGAUGUGUAUUUAGUUUGUGCCUGUACAUAAACAGGAGUACUUUA